CGCGGGGUGGAGCAGUUCGGUAGCUCGCUGGGCUCAUAACCCAGAGGUCGCAGGUUCAAAUCCUGCCCCCGCUACCA
rnacentral:tRNA from 81 species